AUCCUUUUGUAGUUCAUGAGUGUGAUGAUUGGGUGUUCAUGCGCCUGUGUGAUGUGUGCCUCCUUCUAAACCUUUACCACAACGACACAUUACCCGUCUGACU
ensembl:snoRNA